ACCUGCAUGGCUCAGUGGUUGAGCGUUGACCUGUGAACCAGGAGGUCAUGGUUCAAUUCCAUGUCAGGGCA
rfam:Myotis lucifugus cont2.36243, whole genome shotgun sequence.